rnacentral:rRNA from 1 species
GACGAACCGUGCGAACGUUGUUCGGAAUCACUGGGCUUAAAGGGCGCGUAGGCGGGCUCGCGAGUCCGGGGUGAAAGCCUCCAGCUCAACUGGAGAAGCGCCUUGGAUACCGCGGGCCUCGAGGGAUGUAGGGGCGUGCGGAACUUCCGGUGGAGCGGUGAAAUGCGUAGAUAUCGGAAGGAACACCGGUGGCGAAAGCGGCGCGCUGGACAUCUUCUGACGCUGAGGCGCGAAAGCCAGGGGAGCAAACGGG